GAACCUCCUAGAGAAAGAGAGAGAAGAGAGUAGAGAGAAAAAAACCAAGAUUUGACCAAAAUCGGAGCCCCGAAUUCCGAAGCUCGUGAAGAGAAAAGUGUUGUACGUUGCAUUGCCUUCAUUUUGAGCCAAAAAUCAUCUAAGAAGGAGAGUGGUGACUUGGUUGCUGCAUACUUAAGGUAUAUAUGCUCUUGUACAAGCUAAGAGGAAUUAUUUGACGAAGUGGACUUUGAUUGGUCUAUGGCGUAGAUGAUUUGAACUCCUCGAGUUGUGUGGUAAAACGCCAAGGUAAUGCGCGAGAUGAGGUAUGAAGAUGGCCAUUUGGAGUAGACUUUUUGGGAGCCCUUGUGAAGAUCACAUCUGCAUAUGCAUCUAGUUUUUGUAAAUUUUUGGGGACUUGUACAUGAUACAUGUGUGGCACUUACGUAUGAAAUUUUGAAGGCUUGUGGAAAACAAGACCAUUUGCUUGUAACUUAAACUUGAUGACUGGUUUUGCUAUUUUAGGGUGUGUUUUUAACCCAAGUUAUGUCAUAUACUGAAUUUGUAUUUUGUCUUGUAAUUAUGUACAAAGGAUGAUAAUAGUUUUGUGAUAAUCACUAGUUUGA